rnacentral:rRNA from 1 species
AUGGCAGACGACGCGGGGCCUGGCGGCGAGGCCAAGUACCCGCUCAACCCGGAUUGCUACCGCCUGCUCUGCAAGAUCGGGAGCGGCGUCAGCGCCGUCGUGUACAAGGCCGCGUGCCUGCCGCUCGGCUCCGUGCCGGUGGCCAUCAAGGCCAUCGACCUCGAGCGCUCCCGCGCCAACCUGGAGGACGUGUGGCGGGAGGCCAAGGCCAUGGCGCUCCUGUCGCACGCCAACGUCCUGCGCGCGCACUGCUCCUUCACCGUGGGCAGCCACCUGUGGGUGGUCAUGCCGUUCAUGGCCGCCGGCUCUCUGCACUCCAUCCUGGCCCACGGCUUCCCCGACGGCCUCCCGGAGCCGUGCAUCGCGGUGGUGCUCAAGGAGACGCUCCGUGCGCUCUGCUACCUUCACGAGCAGGGCCGCAUCCACCGCGACAUCAAGGCCGGGAACGUCCUCGUCGACUCCGACGGCUCCGUCAAGCUCGCCGACUUCGGCGUGUCCGCGUCCAUAUACGAGACCCCGCCGCCGGCGUCGUCCUUCUCCGGGCCCCUGACCCACGCCCCCCAGGUUGUCCUCAGCUCUUCUUCCUACUUCAGCGAGAUGGCAGGGACGCCGUACUGGAUGGCGCCGGAGGUCAUCCACUCGCACGUCGGCUACGGCAUCAAGGCCGACAUCUGGUCGUUCGGCAUCACGGCCCUGGAGCUCGCGCACGGCCGGCCGCCCCUCUCCCACCUGCCGCCGUCCAAGUCGAUGCUGAUGAGGAUCACGAGCCGCGUCCGGAUGGAGGACGCGGAGAUCUCCAAGAACAAGAAGCUAUCCAAGGCGUUCAAGGACAUGGUGUCCUCCUGCCUGUGCCAAGAGCCGGCCAAGCGGCCGUCGGCGGAGAAGCUUCUCCGGCACCCGUUCUUCAAAGGCUGCCGCUCCAAGGACUACCUCGUCCGCAACGUCCUCAGCGUCGUGCCGAGCAUCGAGGAGCGCUGCAAGGACGUCACGGGCCUCUGCGGCUGCGCCGCCGGGGGCGCGCGCUGCGUGUCGCCGUGCCACGGCCAGGCGAGCGCGAGCAUCGUCAAGAACCGCCGCAUGAGCGGCUGGAACUUCGGCGCGGACUGCCCGAGGAAGGAAGACGCGGACAGCUUUGAGGAUCUCGACCAGACUGAGACGGUAGCACGGCUGUUCCUUCCACUCGACGACGAGGACACGGUGCCCGAGCGGGCCUGCGACGGGGCCGGAGAAGAUGGAGACAAGGGAACAAUGGAGCAGCAAGGUGAUCGAGAGGAAAACGAGGGAUCGUUCGGCGUGAAAGGGGUGGUGGUGCCGCAUCUGAUGACUAUCUUGGGAAGCCUCGAGGUGCAGAAGAGGAUGCUGGCCCAAGAACUGGAAGGUGGCUGCUGCUAUCACCACGACGGCAACUGCUGCCGCGAGACGACGGCCAGGGAGGAGAUGCUACUCGCGUACGUGCGUCAGCUCGAGCAGAGGGUGGAGGUGCUGACCUUGGAGGUCGAGGAGGAAAUCGCCAGGAAUGCCCACCUGGAGGAGCUUCUUCGUGAGAGGGCUGGUUGA